rnacentral:lncRNA from 1 species
AGGGGCAUCAUAGCUAAAAUCUCGAUAUCUUCUUCCACUUUUACAUCCUGACCAGAUAAAAUAUUACUUCUAGAGCACCUAUGCUAGUGUCGGAAGACCAGUCCACUUUUGUGAUACCAGCUUGGAUCAAAACUAUAUCAUUGAUCAAGAGAAUUACACAUCAUUUUGUCCUAGCAUGCUUGCCACAAAUUUAUGGCUUGGGCAUCUCUUCUUUCUCCUUGCUAGGUAUCUAAUGUAGCUAAACUUGCUUGUGGUAAUGAUCAAAUGACAUCUCCCGCAAAUUCUGACCGACAUCUAAAUUCAAUUUAUGGAGAGGUUGGUUUUAACUGAAUAAAAUGAUGAAAGAGUCAAUGAAGGAGUGCUGCCUAAAUUUCAUUUCUAAGCUAUUCAAGUUUUCAUGCAGUCGGACGCGUAGAAAUUAGGCUAAAGACAAUUCAGUAUUUCUACACUACAGACAAUUCAGUAUUCAAGUGGAAAAAAGUUACGGAGGACCGGUCGAGUCCCCUAAGCCAGGUUUCUUCUUAACGCGUCUCAGGUCCGAGACUUCCCGGAUUAUUUUAUAGUUCAAUAUAGCGUAGAUGCUUUGUAAUACCUGG